rnacentral:ncRNA from 1 species
UGGAGUUGGUAUUAACAUACUAGUUUGUGCUUGAGUUAUCACGAGUGGUACACUCGUUAUCAGCUUGAGAACCCCACAGCUAGCACUGCCGCUCUA